rnacentral:lncRNA from 1 species
UUUCUUCCUCCCCUCUCACCACUUUCUCUUCUCUCCGCCCAGUACCGCCCAGCCACCGCCCAUCGUCGCCCGCUGAAAAUCGCUGCUGCCGGCGGCAACCCUUCAAUUCAUCCCAAAAUUUCAUCAUCUCUUCCCCUAUUCCUCCUCUUUCUACCUAUACCGCUCAUAUCUUCCAAAUCUCCACCAAUCACAGUAGAUCUACUAAAAUAUGUAAAACAUUAGCCGCCACCCACCACCCCAAAUUCCAGAAAUUUUACAUCACCGGCUUCCUCUUCUCCCCCUCUUUCCAUAUCUCUGACUCAAAACCUCAAAAACCCAGACCACCGCCGACAUUACGGCGCCCACCGUUUGGCCGUGUCACUAUCGCCCUCAACCACUGCCUCUCAUUUCUCUUCUCAAACUUGCCUCUAGCAAUGUUGUGUCGUUGAUAAACCGGAUUCAGAUUCGCCGGAGUUUUUGGUUUCAAGAAUAUCAACAAUAGAAGUUUGCUCAAAGUCGUACCGAUGUCUAUCGUCGAUUCUCGAAUGCUUGAGUAUAUGGUAAAAUCGUAAUCCUCGGCCCCAUUAUUAAUUUCUAUUUUUUGGGUUUUAGUUAGAAUUAGUUUCUGUCUUGUUUCUUUAUUUAGUCCAUUUCUAAUUAUUUUUGUUUAGUUUUUUUGUUAAAUCGCUUCAGUGAUAGUGUGUGUUCCUUUUGACUUUAAUAGUUAAUUUUUAUUUGCUCGUGUUGGUUCAUAAUACAUGUGUUGAAGUUUAAUUACAUAUUUUAAUACGUGGUUUAAAUUGAAUCAAUAGGGUGAUAUUAGUGUUGUUAAAUCUGAAAUUUAAAUAUUUUUGUCAUAAACUAGGGUACUAGUAGCAUGCUUUUUGUAGGGUAGCUUAUGUGACUAUUUGGCUGCUGCCAUAGGAGAUGUCAGGCUGUCUUUUUACCUUUUGGACAGCCUUUAGCGCACAAAUCCAGUCCCUUUUAGAGACAGAUUUUGAGGGAACUAAAAGCUGUCCAAAAAGAUGGCUUUUCUUUGCCUAUUUAAGGACUAUCCUUUCUUCACUAUAGGGGGACUCCAUCACACUUCCAUACAUAUUUUUAGAAUUGCAAAAAUACACAAAAAUAUAAAAAAUUUCAGCAGUUGAACACAUGAAAAGUAAGCUGAAAUGGUGAGGUUUAGGAGUGAAUAGUGCAAACUUUUAGAAAAGUAUGUCUUGUUUAGAGUUCGUUUUUGGGGUUCUUCUCUAAGUUUUCAGGCUAUUUUAACAUGAAUUUACUGCUAUUUCAAUGUUGUUACGUUGUUGUUGUUGCUGAAAUUCAGUCCCUCCUUCGAUAAUAUUUUCUUUCUGUUGAUCUGGUAAUUUCCUCAACCUUGUAUUAAUUUUGGAUCAAGAAUGAAUGGGAAGGAAGUGUUUUGAAUCCCUUUAGAGUAUACUAUACCUUGAAAGUAUUAUGUUUAUCUAUAAUUUGGUUCCCUUUUAAGUAUCAACCAUGUACAAGAGUUUAGCUAAUCAAUGAGUUGUUUAAAUGAUGCUCUAAUUGCUGAUUUUUCUGUAUUAAAUAUUCCUUUUUACCUUCAACAGUGUAAAUCCUUGAAUGAAGUUUAUGGAAAAUUCUUUCCAUAUAAUGCUCCUGUUGUUUAGAAUAUUGUAGUUAGAAUUCUUGUUGAUCUCCUAAUGAAAAUGCUCUUAGUGAUCAAAUCUUGAAGCAUGUUAGUGUUAUUAUAAUUCAUCUUUCUCUUUUCUAAGUUAAGAGUUCAUAUAACUGUUCUUAGAAGUUUUGUACAAUUAUUAUAUGAG